rnacentral:rRNA from 1 species
GACGGAGUGUGCUAGCGUUGUUCGGAAUCACUGGGCGUAAAGGGCGCGUAGGCGGCCUCAGGUGUCGGAUGUGAAAGCCCGGGGCUCAACCCCGGAGGUGCAUCCGAAACUCUGGGGCUGGAGGUCGGAAGAGGAGGGUGGAAUACCCAGUGUAGAGGUGAAAUUCGUAGAUAUUGGGUGGAACACCGGUGGCGAAAGCGGCUCUCUGGUCCGGACCUGACGCUGAGGCGCGAAAGCGUGGGGAGCAAACAGG